rnacentral:rRNA from 1 species
UUUUGGGAGAAAAAAGUACAAGGUUU